CCGGGAGGAGUUGGACCGGGAGGAGUUGGAACAGGAGGAGUUGGACCAGGAGGUUUCAGGCCCAGCACGUUCGGCCCAGGCAGUGGUGGACUGGGAGUCGUACCUGGAGGUGUUGGGGCCGGUGGAAAGCCUCCAAAAACAGGAGGCGGCUACGGAGGUCGUGGAGGAGUGGCUGGAGCAGGACAGGGAGCUGGCGGUGUAGGAGGAGGACUGGGACAGGGUGGAGUCGGGCCAGGUGGUUUUGGACCAGGUGGUGUCGGUCCUGGAGGCUAUGGAGCUGGGCCUGGAGGAGUUGGUCCUGGUGGUGUUGGACAGGGUGGCCAAGGC